UACGUAGGGAGCAAGCGUUGUCCGGAAUCAUUGGGCGUAAAGAGCGCGUAGGCGGCCCUGUAAGUCCGUUCUGAAAGUCAAAGGCUCAACCUUUGAAAGCGGAUGGAUACUGCAGGGCUAGAGUCCGGAAGAGGCGAGUGGAAUUCCUGGUGUAGCGGUGGAAUGCGCAGAUAUCAGGAAGAACACCAAUGGCGAAGGCAGCUCUCUGGGACGGUACUGACGCUGAGACGCGAAAGCGUGGGGAGCGAACAGG
rnacentral:rRNA from 1 species